rnacentral:rRNA from 1 species
UACGGAGGAUCCAAGCGUUAUCCGGAUUUAUUGGGUUUAAAGGGUGCGUAGGCGGUUUAUUAAGUCAGGGGUGAAAGACGGCAGCUUAACUGUCGCAGUGCCUUUGAUACUGAUGAACUUGAAUGUACUAGAAGUAGGCGGAAUGUGACAAGUAGCGGUGAAAUGCAUAGAUAUGUCACAGAACACCGAUUGCGAAGACAGCUUACUAUGGUAUUAUUGACGCUGAGGCACGAAAGCGUGGGGAUCAAACAGG